ACGCUCGACACCUACGGGGGCAGCAGUGGGGAAUAUUGCACAAUGGGGGAAACCCUGAUGCAGCGACGCCGCGUGAGCGAAGAAGUAUUUCGGUAUGUAAAGCUCUAUCAGCAGGGAAGAAACUGACGGUACCUGACUAAGAAGCACCGGCUAAAUACGUGCCAGCAGCUGCGGUAAUCUGAGCGGGCUGGCAAGGC
rnacentral:rRNA from 1 species